rnacentral:rRNA from 1 species
CGGAGGAAAAGAAACCAACAGGGAUUGCCCUAGUAACGGCGAGUGAAGCGGCAACAGCUCAAAUUUGAAAUCUGGCUCCUUCGGGGUCCGAGUUGUAAUUUGCAGAGGAUGCCUCGGGUGCGGGUGCCUUCCGAGUUCCCUGGAACGGGACGCCAUAGAGGGUGAGAGCCCCGUCUGGUCGGACACCCAGCCCGUGUGAGGCUCCCUCGACGAGUCGAGUAGUUUGGGAAUGCUGCUCUAAGGGGAGGUAUACUCCUUCCAAGGCUAAAUACCGGCUAGAGACCGAUAGCGCACAAGUAGAGUGAUCGAAAGAUGAAAAGCACUUUGAAAAGAGAGUCAAACAGCACGUGAAAUUGUUGAAAGGGAAGCGCUUACUACCAGACUUGGGCUCGGCGGUUCAACCGGCGCCACGCGCCGGGGCACUCCGCCGGCCCAGGCCAGCAUCAGCUCUCCGUCGGGGGCAAAGGCGUCGGGAAUGUAGCUCCCCCUCGGGGGAGUGUUAUAGCCCGGCGUGUCAUACCCUUCGGGGGGCUGAGGACCGCGCUUCGCAAGGAUGCUGGCGUA